rnacentral:misc_RNA from 1 species
AACGCAAAUUGCGCCCCAAGCCAUUAGGCCGAGGGUACGUCUGCCUGGGUGUCACGCAUCGUCGCAAUCAUCCAACCCGAGCCCUCGGGCCUCGGUUGAACUGUGGGCGGAAAUUGGCCUCCCGCGCGCUCACCGCCGGUGGUUGGCCUAAAUACGAGUCCUCGACGACGGCAUCGUCGCGACGAUCGAUGGUAAUGCUAUAGGCUGCCUCGUUCGGUGUCGUGCACGUUCGUCGAUCGAGACCCCCGACCCUUUCCGCAUCGCAAGGACGGUGCUCGCAUCGCGACCCCAGGUCAGGCGGGAUUACCCGCUGAGUUUAA